AUGAACUCAAAGUCAAAACCUAAAAAACCCACACCGAUUAGGGUUUUCGGACAACGAUCCAUCACCUCAACAUUCCGCUCUCUCCCGCCAAAUCCCUCUCAUGAUUCCGAAGCAAGUUCGAGAAAUCAAGCUUCGCGUAACAGCGACUCCACUCGUUUAUCGCUUACUCACUUCCUCGAUCGCAAACUGCAUAACUCUUCAACAGUCCCUCAAACCGUUCCGGUAAAAUUCUGGAUCCGAAAUUACUCUUAG